UUCCUCGAAUAACUUCCGGCACGGACACCUAAGAGCAUGGCUGUCCAAGAAGAAAAUGUAGCCAUUGGUGCCAUCUAUCGACCACAGGUUAAAGAUUGGCAAUCCGUUGGAUACCGACCGAGUUAUAGGCAAAACUUGGUGCAAAAAUGAGGAAAAUUUUACAUUUUCUCAAACAGGGUAAGGAACUUUGUUCCUCGAAUAACUUCCGGCACGGACACUUGAGAGCAUGGCUGUCCAAGAAGAAAAUGUAGCCAUUGGUGCCAUCUAUCGACCAACGGUUAAAGAUUGGCAAUCCGUUGGAUACCGACCGAGUUAUAGGCAAAACUUGGUGCAAAAAUGAGGAAAAUUUUACAUUUUCUCAAACAGGGUAAGGAACUUUGUUCCUCGAAUAACUUCCGGCACGGACACCUGAGAGCAUGGCUGUCCAAGAAGAAAAUGUAGCCAUUGGUGCCAUCUAUCGACCACAGGUUAAAGAUUGGCAAUCCGUUGGAUACCGACCGAGUUAUAGGCAAAACUUGGUGCAAAAAUGAGGAAAAUUUUACAUUUUCUCAAACAGGGUAAGGAACUUUGUUCCUCGAAUAACUUCCGGCACGGACACCUGAGAGCAUGGCUGUCCAAGAAGAAAAUGUAGCCAUUGGUGCCAUCUAUUGACCACAGGUUAAAGAUUGGCAAUCCGUUGGAUACCGACCGAGUUAUAGGCAAAACUUGGUGCAAAAAUGAGGAAAAUUUUACAUUUUCUCAAACAGGGUAAGGAACUUUGUUCCUCGAAUAACUUCCGGCACGGACACUUGAGAGCAUGGCUGUCCAAGAAGAAAAUGUCGCCAUUGGUGCCAUCUAUCGACCACAGGUUAAAGAUUGGCAAUCCGUUGGAUACCGACCGAGUUAUAGGCAAAACUUGGUGCAAAAAUGGGGAAAAUUUUACAUUUUCUCAAACAGGGUAAGGAACUUUGUUCCUCGAAUAACUUCCGGCACGGACACCUGAGAGCAUGGCUGUCCAAGAAGAAAAUGUAGCCAUUGGUGCCAUCUAUCGACCACAGGUUAAAGAUUGGCGAUCCGUUGGAUACCGACCG